rnacentral:tRNA from 1 species
ACCUGGCUGGCUCAGUCGGUAGAGCAUGUAACUCUUGAUUUCAGGCCUGUGAGUUUGAGUCCCACGUUGGGUA